rnacentral:rRNA from 1 species
UUGCUUUUACAAGGCGAAACCGCGAAUGGCUCAUUAAAUCAGUUAUGGUUCACUAGAUCGUACAGUUUACAUGGAUAACUGUGGUAAUUCUAGAGCUAAUACAUGCACCCAGUCCGUUCCCUCGUGGAGCGGAUGCAGUUAUUUGCCCAAAACCAAUCCGGCCUUCGGGUCGGUCAAUUGGUGACUCUGAAUAACCGAAGCGGAGCGCAUGGUCUCGUACCGGCGCCAGAUCUUUCAAGUGUCUGACUUAUCAGCUUGUUGUUAGGUUAUGUUCCUAACAAGGCAUCAACGGGUAACGGAGUGUCAGGGCCCGACACCGGAGAGGGAGCCUGAGAAACGGCUACCACAUCCAAGGAAGGCAGCAGGCGCGCAAAUUACCCACUCCCGGCACGGGGAGGUAGUGACGAAAAAUAACGAUGCGAGAGCUUUAUGCUCCUCGUAAUCGGAAUGGGUACACUUUAAAUCCUUUAACGAGGAUCUAUUGGAGGGCAAGUCUGGUGCCAGCAGCCGCGGUAAUUCCAGCUCCAAUAGCGUAUAUUAAAGUUGCUGCGGUUAAAAAGCUCGUAGUUGGAUCUGGGUAGUCGAUGGACGGUGCGCUUUACGGCGUCUACUGUUCGUUCGGCACCACAUGCCGGCCAUGUCUUGCAUGCUCUUCACUGAGUGUGCUUGGCGACCGGAACGUUUACUUUGAAAAAAUUAGAGUGCUCAAAGCAGGCGUUAAGCCUUGCAUAAUGGUGCAUGGAAUAAUAGAAUAGGACCUCGGUUCUAUUUUGUUGGUUUUCGGAGCUCGAGGUAAUGAUUAAUAGGAACAGACGGGGGCAUUCGUAUUGCGGCGUUAGAGGUGAAAUUCUUGGAUCGUC